rnacentral:rRNA from 1 species
GAUGAACGCUGGCGGCGUGCUUAACACAUGCAAGUCGAACGAGAAAUGGAGACGGAAACCUUCGGGCGGAAGGCUUCAUUUCGAGUGGCGGACGGGUGAGUAACGCGUGGGUAACCUGCCUCAUACAGGGGGAUAACAGUUGGAAACGACUGUUAAUACCGCAUAAGACCACAGCACCGCAUGGUGCGGGGGUAAAAACUCCGGUGGUAUGAGAUGGACCCGCGUUCGAUUAGCCAGUUGGCGGGGUAACGGCCCACCAAAGCGACGAUCGAUAGUCGAUCUGAGAGGAUGACCGGCCACAUUGGGACUGAGACACGGCCCAAACUCCUACGGGAGGCAGCAGUGGGGAAUAUUGCACAAUGGGGGAAACCCUGAUGCAGCGACGCCGCGUGAGUGAAGAAGUACUUCGGUAUGUAAAGCUCUAUCAGCAGGGAAGAAAAUGACGGUACCUGAGUAAGAAGCCCCGGCUAACUACGUG